rnacentral:tRNA from 1 species
GGGGUUGUGGCUCAGUGGUAGAGCACUCGCCUUGCCAGACGCUAGGUCCUGGGUUCAAUUCUCAGCACCUUA